rnacentral:rRNA from 1 species
UACGUAGGGUGCGAGCGUUAAUCGGAAUUACUGGGCGUAAAGAGUGCGCAGGCGGCAGAGCAAGUCGAGUGUGAAAGCCCCGGGCUUAACUUGGGAAUUGCGCUCGAAACUACUUUGCUGGAGUGUGGCAGAGGAAGGUGGAAUUCCACGUGUAGCGGUGAAAUGCGUAGAGAUGUGGAGGAACACCAAUGGCGAAGGCAGCCUUCUGGGCCAACACUGACGCUCAUGCACGAAAGCGUGGGGAGCAAACAGG